rnacentral:rRNA from 1 species
UACGUAGGUGGCAAGCGUUGUCCGGAUUUACUGGGCGUAAAGAGCGCGCAGGCGGUCGAGUAAGUCGAAUGUGAAAGCCCCCGGCUUAACUGGGGAGGGUCAUUCGAUACUGUUCGACUUGAAGGCAGGAGAGGGCAGCAGAAUUCCCGGUGUAGUGGUGAAAUGCGUAGAUGUCGGGAGGAAUACCAGUGGCGAAGGCGGCUGCCUGGCCUGUUCUUGACGCUGAGGCGCGAAAGCUGGGGGAGCAAACGGG